rnacentral:tRNA from 1 species
UCCAGCGUGGCAUAGUGGUUUGAAUGUUGGACUGCAACUCUGGAGCCCCGGGUUCAAUUCCCAGUUCUGCCA